rnacentral:rRNA from 1 species
UUUGUUGCUUGCAGCAAACUUGUCGGUUAUUGCCUGUAUUAUACCCUUGUCUCUCAACUACUAUUUGUUUCCUUGGUAAGCUUGCUUGCCAGCUGGACAAUACUAUAACCUUUAAAUUUUUAAUCAGCGUCUGAACAAAUGAAUAAUUACAACUUUCAACAACGGAUCUCUUGGUUCUGGCAUCGAUGAAGAACGCAGCGAAAUGCGAUAAGUAGUGUGAAUUGCAGAAUUCAGUGAAUCAUCGAAUCUUUGAACGCACAUUGCGCCCCUUGGUAUUCCAUGGGGCAUGCCUGUUCGAGCGUCAUUUGUACCUUCAAGCUAUGCUUGGUGUUGGGCGUUUGUCCUUGCUCUUCUAGAGUUGGACUCGCCUCAAAAUAAUUGGCAGCCAGUAUUUUGGUUUGGACCGCAGCACCAGUCGCGAUUCAAGCCAAAAUAAUAGCUUCCAUUAAGCUAAUUAUCACUUUUGACCUC